GACGAACGCUGGCGGCGUGCUUAACACAUGCAAGUCGAACGAAGUGGCGAACGGGUGAGUAAUACGUGAGUAACUGCCCUCCUUUUUGGGAUAAGCCUUGGAAACGGGGUCUAAUACCGAAUAAAGGGGGAUGGGCUCGCGGCCUAUCAGCUUGUUGGUUGGGUGAUGGCCUACCAAGGCGGUGACGGGUAGCCGGCCUGAGAGGGGACCGGCAGUAUUGGGCUGAGAGACGGCCCAGACUCCUACGGGAGGCAGCAGUGGGGGUUAUUGCACAAGGGGCGAAAGCCUGAUGCAGCGACGCCGCGUGGGGGAUGACGUCCUUCGGGUUGUAAACCGCUUUCAGCCAUGACGCGGUAGUGGCAGAAGAAGCACCGGCUAACUACGUGCCAGCAGCCGCGGUAAUUC
rnacentral:rRNA from 1 species